AUUGAACGCUGGCGGCAGGCCUAACACAUGCAAGUCGAGCGAGCGGCGGACGGGUGAGUAAUGUAUGGGGACUGCCCGCUAGAGGGGGGUAAAUACUGGAAACGGUAGCUAAUAACCCAUACUAUCGGAUAACUCAAAUGGGAUUAGCUAGUAGGUGAGGUAAUGGCUCACCUAGGCGACGAUCCCUAGCUGGGCUGAGAGGAUGAUCAGCCACACUGGGACUGAGACACGGCCCAGACUCCUACGGAGGCAGCAGUGGGGAAUAUUGCACAAUGGGCGCAAGCCUGAGGCAGCCAUGCCGCAUGUAUGAAGAAGGCCCUAGGGUUGUAAAGUACUUUCAGUCGGGAGGCGUUACCGACAGAAGAAGCACCGGCUAACUCCGUGCCAGCCGCCGCGGUAAUAC
rnacentral:rRNA from 1 species